GGGCGUUUAGCUCAGUUGGCUAGAGCGCUUCCGUGACAUGGAAGAGGUCAGAGGUUCAAGUCCUCUAACGCCCA
rnacentral:tRNA from 1 species